ACCUGUUUUUAAUCAUGGGGUAGUGUCUAGAUUUUUAACAUUAAAAAAAAAAUCAAUUUCAGAAUAAGACUAACAUAACAAAAUGUGGAAUAAGUCACCGUACCACACUCAACCAAUGUGAUGUGUAAAAAGGCGACCGAGAAAAACACAAGCAGUUAGCCAUGCCAACAUGGAAGUUGUAGUAUUUUGUGUACAAAUCCCAAGAGAUGGUCACACAUUCUUGUUUGAAAAGUGCAGUUUAACCAGAAACGUUACAAUCACUUGACUUCAUGGGUUAGGGAGAAUACGAGCAAGUGCAGACAAACACCACUUAGCCAUUAGCCAGACAGAAGUCAAUGACUUACAGGGAAGCCAUGCUAGUUGAAAGACUCAGUGAGACUAAUCCGAAAAGGGUAGUUUGAGUUGUACAAAUAAAGUAAAAAAUCUUUGCAAAAACGAAAGACAAGACAGGCAUUAGCUAGAGCUUCUACAGGGAGAAAAAGGCAAUCCGAAUGGGUUGAGACCAUUUCUUGCAUUUGCAUCUAUAUUGUCCAGUUGGAGGUGAAUAUAGACCUUCACCAUGCAGUGGCAUUGACCUCUAUUGCAUUCAUCUCAUUUUCCAAAACUCCCACAUUUCAACUAAGACAUGUACAUUUUUGGGGGGAGGGGCACAUUUUUGGUGAAUAAUGCAAAGCAGAAAUGCAUUUGACCAAGGCAGGCUAGCAGACAAUGGAAAGAAUGUACCCACCAGAGCACUGAGUGACCGCAGGAGAAUGGGUGGUAUUGAGUGGGUUAGGAUGGAGCCUACAGGUGCAGAAUCAUUAAGGUCCGAAUGGCAUGAAUGGAAUGGUUUCAAACAUAUGGAAACCACGUUUGACUCCAUUCCAUUGAGCAAGUCCUGCUAUAGCACCUCCAACCAGCAGUGACAUGGGUGCAGAUAGCAGGCAUAGCAAAGAAAGGCAUUGCCGUGUACCACUACAUUGUUCCAUUGAGCAGAUGAGGGUACAGAAAGUGAUGAAGUUAGUGUCUGGAAUAGCAUUUAACUGAGCAUAAAAAUUCCACAUAGUGCAUGUACGCAGCACAAAAUACCUUGUAAGAAUAGAAGUAUGAUUGAGUCAUUUCUAAAUGUGAAUACAGACAUUAAAAUAAGUGUAUCAGAAUAUACAUGUAAAAGACCAUCAUUUUGCAUGUUGCCAACCACCCUUUAUAAAAAGAGGCCACCUCAAAUAAAAUGCCUUCCUGCCAAAUAUCACAAAGGCACACACACACACACACACACACACACCAAAUGGGAUAAUGGUUUGAUUUGAAACACAUUGGUCUUGACAUAUUUUCACAACUAGGGAGAUUCGGAUGUGUGUGCUGCUCUAGAGUAAAUCAUUUGUCCACUCGUGGGGCAACAGUGCAGAGAUGAAUUAACUCGUGUCAGUGUGGUGGAUUUAUCCCCAGGUCCUUAAAUGGUAAAACUAUAGUAUAUUAUAUAAAAAUAUAUUAGAACGUUUGGUUAAAGGUGUUUUGAUAUUUACGCAAUUAUCACAUUUCUAACAUUCUGAAGGCAGAUUGUCUUGUCAUUUGACCUUGUGAUGGAAACCAUUGUUUUGGAAAGACACUGGUUUUCUGCAGCCGAAAGCCCUACAAGCGUAGCGUAUUCGCGCAAGCAAACCAAAUCCAGACAAAUUAAACACGGGAGGGGAUCUUUCCAGUCUCUCAAUACUUUUAUUGUUUGGCUCGAUGAAGUCCCAUUACACAACUACUCACUGCGUGAACCAGUUUUUUUUUUUUUAAAGAGCAACAUCUGAAUGACCACAUGGUUGAGUUCAUCAAGUUAACCUUACGAGGUCAUUCCCUCAAAGUUCCAGUUUGACAGUGGAGAAUAAAACACACGGCAACAGUUUGUUGUGUUACAGUCACAGAGCGUGCACAGGUAGGGUUGUCUGUACUAGCAGAAGCUAUCACACGGCUGCACGAGAUGUGCAGCGGGUUAGGUUUAAACAAAGCUUUCAUCAUUACGUCGGCGUGUACCAACUCAGUGAUAUCUGGCAGAGAAGCAUAUUAAAAGAGGCUUAAAAAAGUACAGUAAAUGUAAUAUCUCCCAAAUAAACCCUGAGUAGUAGUGAUUGGUUAGCCGUGGACUGGGCGUACACAUUACAAACAGAAUAAUCAAAUGGCUCAUUUGAGGUGUUUUCCUGUUUUUGGUUGCAUGCGGUGAGAGGUUAAAGAUUGUUGAUACGCUAGGUCAGUGGAGAUCAUAAACAGAAUGGUGAAAGAUGAGUGGGCCAUGUUUGAGAGGAAGGGAGAAGGGUGAAAAGGUCGUUUGGAGGGAGAAGUGAUUUGCAGCUGUGUGUUUGUAUCCUUACUGUAAUGACACAAGGUUGAAACCAUUACAUCCUUAACUGUGCAAGAGAUAGCACUGAUGACAUCACUGCCACUUCCUAAAGGUUCUCACUGUGGCGAUCUGCUGUUGUUUGGAUUGGGAAUUCAGGAAAACACAGCCUCAGCAAUGAAAGCUUUUUAGUGCUUUUACCAUCUCCAGGAAUCACAACAACUAUACUGUACACAGCCAGGAGAGACUGAACUACAUAAAGUAAUCAAACCCCACAAAGUCUGGAAGCUUCUAGUGUGAAGGGGGGAAUAACAAUAUUCUACUCAGUCUUCUCACUUUAACUUAAUCAGUCAUAUCAUUAAUUACACCUCUGCCAUCUAUAUAAACUCUAAUAAAUAAAAUGUGUUCUUUCCAGAGAAGAACCUUUACAUCUCAGGAGUCAAGCUCUAAAGUGUUUUUUGGAAAAGGUGGGAUCAGUUUUAGGUGGUACUGUAUUAUAUGGUGUGGGUAAAUAGUGCACACCUAACCUUCCUCUAGUUGCUUGUCUAUCAGUGUGUAUGCGUGUUGGGCUGGUGGUGAAGGACAGUGUACGCGCCCGUUACACCGCAGUAACAGCAGCCUCGGGGGCUACCUCCUCCUGUGUGGCCGUACCAUUGCUCUCUGGCUCUACCACAGCAACUGCUUCCUCGGGGAAGGCGGGCACGGCAAUGGCCUCUGCAGCAUCCUCCAUGGCCUCGGCCACUAUGACCACUUCCUCUGCUGCCGCCUCUACUUCCAUGGCCACCUCAACGACCUCUUCAGCAGCCUCGGCGACAGCCUCUGCGACCUCCUCCACCACAGUCUCUGCUUCUACUACAGCCACUUCCUCUACUGCUGCCUCCACAGCAGGUUCUUCAGAGACUGCCUCGGUCUCUUCAGCAAGUUCUGCUACGUUUUCCGCCUCUACAGCCUCUUCAGCUGCAGGCUCCUCUCCAGCCGCCGCCUCCUCUGCUUCCUCCUCUCCAUCGGCUACUGCUUCCUCACCUGAAACAGGAGGGAGGGAAAUGUAUAAAUCAGUAAAGAUGGCAUCGAUCUUUGAAGGGAACCAACACCACACUGCCCGAGUAAGCCAUGCUCUACAACACAAUACUCAAAGAAAUAAGUGGAUUUACAGAGCAUGUGAAUUACCCUACAUAACACCUACAAUAACAGAAUAUUCACAUAAAGUCAUUUUUCUAAGUCAUAUCUGAUCUGUACAGCUCUGAUCUAGUUCUGUAUCCUGAGCUGCCGUGUGCACAACUACACACUCAAUCAUACACCACGUCACACAUGCCCAUGCCAUUCCUCUUACCACACCUCCGGCUCAUACCACACUCCACCUAGAAGGGGGAAACCCCAGCAAAGCAAAUCACUGCAGAGGAGAAUUCAUGACAGAACCACAUGCAAACCCAAAGACAGAAAGGGAGGGAAAGAAGAAUAAAAACGACAGAGGGAGGCAGGCAAAAUUAAAGUGACAUAGUGAAGGUACACAGGGUCAGGUCAGAGGCUAGAGGGUGAGAGGAUAAAGAUGGCAAAUCUUACCAUCCAAUCAAAGCUACCAGUACCUGGAAAUUCCAACAAUAACACAGAGACAACCAAGGUGGUUUGUGCACAUUUAAUUUGAAAAUGUACCCAUUAACAUUAAUCCAUCCUGGAAGAGGCCACAUACAAGAGUUCAUCAAAUCAAAAAUGGGGAAAUAAGAGAGAAAUCCAGCAGAGAAACUUUCAGAAACAGACAAUAGUUGAAUGUAUGGGACGUAGCAGGAAAGUAGAAGAGAUUUCCCCCUUUUCAGAUUCAUCCAAACAGUCCAGUAGGCUAUAAAGUCCCCUGACGUGUAGGCAAUUUACUUUUACACUGAAAAGAGUAAAAAUAGGAGCGUUAGCGGAAAGGGAGGAAGAGAACCUUUAACCAAAAUAACUUUCAAAUCAGAAAAAUUUCACCAUUAUUGAAAAUUCAAGUUCAACAUCCAAGAAUAUGAUAAUCAAUUCCCUAUGUGAUUCUCUUGCUUGUGCAAUGCACUGAUAAUGUGAACAGUGCGUUAGCAUUCUAGGUGCAUAACCCCCUUAAGGGCGCACUAAGAUGACAUCACCUGUUGUCUCUGUUUGGUAGCGAAUAAAGAGCCUCUAAUAAAGAGGUACAGGUUUUAAAGAGGUAAGGGGAGACAGAGGAUUAAAAGUGAAAGAGAAGGGGGACAUGUUUUGGGAUGGAUCGUCCAAUAGGAAAGGAGUAGUGUCAAGGAGGGGGACCCCCUGUUCUGAUUAACAGGUAUUUCAGACAAAAGGAUAGGUUAGGGUCAGAUGGGAGAAGCUGGGUGGGGUGGGAUCAGAUAGGAAAAAAAAAAAAAAAAGAGUUUCCUUUCAGAAUGAUCACCAAUAAAAUCUAUAUAUCAAAGUCAUCAACAGCAUUAGUCUUAAGUUUACCAUCUUGAGAAACCAAAAUAUUUUGUGCAGGCAAACUCAUUCCCGAACAGGUCCUUCCAAAUAUUACCAUCAACAGUAGGUUUUACACCAACCAGAUGCUUAUGGUCCCCUAAAAAUCUUUCUGGCAUUAACCAGGUUUCCAGUCAACCCUUUUAUGCACGUUAAGUACAUGUCAGAAUUAGUUUGACAGGCCUGAAUGAAACAGCAAGUCUAAACUUCCCAAAUGUCGACAAAACACGCUAGACAAGGUGGGAUCUUUGUGUGUCUGUACAAUUAAUUAGAGAAAUGGUGAUAAAUGUUUUUUAUGCGCAAAUAUUGAUAUAAUAACCAUCAUAUUGGAAGUAAACUUGGGAGUCACGCGAUGACAUGCAUUCUACAGUGCCCCGAAACCUGCUCCUUUUACAUACUAGACGACCAGUUCUUAUAGUCUUUAGCCGUACCCUUAUCCUACUCUUCCUCUGUUCCUCUAGUGUUGUAGACGUUAAUCCAGGCCCUGCAGUGCCUAGCUCCACUCCCCUUCCCCAGGCGCUCUCAUUUGUUGACUUCUGUAACUGUAAAAGCCUUGGUUUCAUGCAUGUGAACAUUGGAAGCCUCCUCCCGAAGUUUGUUAUAUUCACUGCUUUAGCACACUCUGCCAACCCGGAUGCCCUAGCCGUGUCUGAAUCCUAGCUUAGGAAGACCAUCAAAAACCCUGAAAUUUCCAUUCCUAACUAUAACAUUUUCUGACAAGAUAGAACUGCCAAGGGGGUGGAGUUGCAAUCUACUGCAGAGAUAGACCUGGAUAGUAAGACAGAACUCUGCAGGCUAUGCCCAAACAAUUUGAGCUUCUACUUUUAAAAAUCCACUUUUCCAGAAACAAGUCUCUCACCGUUGCUGCUUCCUAUAGACCACCUUCUGCCCCCAGCUGUGCCCUGGACACCAUAUGUGAAUUGAUUGCCCCCAAUCUAUCUUCAGUGCUCGUGCUGUUAGGUGACCUAAACGUAGACGUGCUUGACACCCCGGCCAUCCUACAAUCUAUGCAAUCUAUACUUCUGUGUAUUGAUUUUAAGAAAGGCAUUGAUGUUUAGGUACACGUUGGAGCAACGACAGUCCUUUUUCGCAAAAGCGCACCACAUCGAUUAUAUGCAACGCAGGACACGCUAGAUAAACUAGUAAUAUCAUCAACCAUGUGUAGUUAUAACUAGUGAUUAUGAUUGAUUGAUUGUUUUUUUAUAAGAUAAGUUUAAUGCUAGCUAGCAACUUACCUUGGCUUCUUACGGCAUUCGCGUAACAGGCAGGCUCCUCGUGAGGCAGGUGGUUAGAGCGUUGGACUAGUUAACCGUAAGGUUGCAAGAUUGAAUCCCUGAGCUGACAAGGUAAAAAUCUGUAAUUCUGUCCCUGAACAAGGCAGUUAACCCACCGUUCCUAGGCUGUCAUUGAAAAUAAGAAUGUGUUCUUAACUGACUUGCCUAGUUAAAUGUGUAAAAAAAUAAAUUUAAAAAAUAAUAAUAAAAAUUUUUUUUAAAUUAAAAAAUACAAAUAAAAAAAAAUCGGCAGAAUCGGCAUCCAAAAAUACCGAUUUCCGAUUGUAAUGAAAACUUGAAAUCGGCCCUAAUUAAAUCAGCCAUUCUGAUUAAUCGGUCGACCUCUACUCCAAAUACACCUCUGCUGUCUUCAAUCAGGAUCUCAGCGAUCACUGCCUCAUUGCCUGUGUCCAUAAUGGGUCUGCGGUCAAACGACCUCCCCUCAUCAUUGUCAAACGCUCCCUAAAACACAUCAGCGAGCAGCCCUUUCUUAUCAACCUGGCCCGGGUAUCCUGGAAGGAUAUUGACCUCAUUCCGUCAGUAGAGGAUGCCUGGUUAGUCUUUAAAAGUGCUUUCCUCACCAUCUUAAAUAAGCAUGCCCCAUUCAAAAAAUGUAGAACCAGGAACAGAUAUAUCCCUGACUGCCCUUGACCAGCACAAAAACAUCCUGUGGCAUACUGCAUUAGCAUUGAAUAGCCCCCGCGAUAUGCAACUUUUCAGGGAAGUUAGGAACCAAAAUACACAGGCAGUUAGGAAAGCAAAGGCUAGCUUUUUCAGACAGAAAUUUGCAUCCUGUAGCACAAACUCCAAAAAAGUUUUGGGACACUAAAGUCCAUGGGGAAUAGGAGCACCUUCUCCCAGUUGCCCACUGCACUGAGGCUAGGAAACACUGUCACCACCGAUAAAUCCACGAUAAUUGAGAAUUUCAAUAAGAAUUUCUUUACGGCUGGCAAGUGUGUCAAAUCGUAGGGCCUGUUGUCCGAACCUCUGGCAGUCUCUAUGGGGGUGCCACAGGGUUCAAUUCUCGAGCCGACUCUCUUCUCUGUAUACAUCGAUGAUGUCGCUCUUGCUGCUGGUGAUUCUCUGAACCACCUCUACGCAGACGACACCAUUCUGUAUACUUCUGGCCCUUCUUUGGACACUGUGUUAACUAACACCCAGACGAGCUUCAAUGCCAUACAACUCUCCUUCCGUGGCCUCCAACUGCUCUUAAAUACAAGUAAAACUAAAUGCAUGCUCUUCAACUGAUCGCUGCCCGCACCUGCACGCUCGUCCAGCAUCACUACUCUGGACGAUUCUGACUUAGAAUAUGUGGACAACUACAAAUACCUAGGUUUCUGGUUAGACUAAAAUCUCCUUCCAGACUCACAUUAAACAUCUCUAAUCCAAAAUUAAAUCUGGAAUCGAUUUCCUAUUUCCCAACAAAGCAUCCUUCACUCAUGCUGCCAAACAUCCUCGUAAAACUGACUAUCCUACAGAUUUUUGAUUUCGGCGAUGUCAUUUACAAAAUAGCCUCCAACACUCUACUCAGCAAAUUGGAUGCAGUCUAUCACAGUGCCAUCCAUUUUGUCACCAAAGCCCCAUAUACUACCCACCACUACGACCUGUAUGCUCUCGAUGGCUGGCCCUCACUACAUAUUCGUCGCUGCUACAUACAAAUCACUGAAGCUGGAGACUCAUAUCUCCCUCACUAACUUUAAGCACAAGCUGUCAGAGCAGCUCACCGAUCACUGCACCUGUACAUAGCCCAUCUGUAAAUAGCUCAUCCAACUACCUCAUCCCCAUACUGCCAUUUAUUUAUUUUGCUCCUUUGCACCAUAGUAUCUCUACUUGCACAUUCAUCUUCUGAAUAUCUAUCACUCCAGUGUUUAAUUGCUAUACUGUAAUUAUUUUAAUAGGCCACUAUGGCCUAUUAUUGCCUUAACCCCCUUAUCCUACCUCAUUUGCACACACUAACAAUUCCUCUACAAUGCAAAACUUUUUCUAUUGUGUCAUUUACAGUAUGUUUGUUUAUUCCAUGUGUAACUCUCGUGUUGUUGUUGAUGGUGUCGCACUGAUUUGCUUUAUCUUGGCCAGGUCGCAGCUGUAAAUGAGAACUUGUUCUCAACUAGCCUACCUGGUCAAAUAAAGGUGAAGUAAAAAUGUUUUAAAUGUGAGGUCCUCCCACUACGACUCGGGAAAGCAUGCAGUUUAUUAGGCUACAGAUUAAAUAUAUUAUGAACUUCACAGGGUGGUGAAAGUGCAAGGUGAUGACCUUGAUGCUCCUUUCCAAUAAAUAUUGAGGGUCUUAUUCUGGUGACAUGAGGAUUGAUGCUAGGCUGCAGUUUCACAAAUUAAAAUAAUCUUGCUCUAUUGUCCAUAAUAAUCUCAUGUAGGCUAUACCAGCACUGUAUCUGUGAGCGGUUGACUAGAGCGCACAUGCCAAUACCAGAGAGGGAACAUGCG
ensembl:lncRNA